UACAGAGGUCUCAACCGUUGUUCGGAUUCAUUGGGCGUAAAGAGCUCGUAGGCGGUUUGUCGCGUCUGCCGUGAAAGUCCGGGGCUCAACUCCGGAUCUGCGGUGGGUACGGGCAGACUAGAGUGAUGUAGGGGGAGACUGGAAUUCCUGGUGUAGCGGUGAAAUGCGCAGAUAUCAGGAGGAACACCGAUGGCGAAGGCAGGUCUCUGGGCAUUAACUGACGCUGAGGAGCGAAAGCAUGGGGAGCGAACAGG
rnacentral:rRNA from 1 species